UGUCUGCGAAUUUGACAGCACGCGUGUCAUUGACGUCUGUUUGGAUACAGUAUUAUUUUAAGUGAUAUCAUACAUCGAGAUGGAUGGCAAAGAUGGAGAUGUCGAAGUGUCAUCCCCCUUGUCGGAACAUAAGUCCGAUGAUGAAGCAGAAGGCGGUGAAUAUGAAGAUGAGGGAAAAUCUGAAAUAAAUUUUGCUGUUCUUGACGGUUUGGAUCAAUCUCAAACAGCACUACAGCCAACUUAUCAAAUCCGGCCACCUCUUUCCGAGAAGUUUAAGCCAAUGAGCGCCAAAGAAGUAAUACACAAUGUGUUGUUCGAUCAGCUGUCAACAAAAGUAUACGAUGCCAAAGAAGUACCUAAAUGGUGUCAGGAAAUAGCUGACAUAAUCAGAGACAAAGUUAAAGAGCUAAGGUUCAAACGAUACAAGUACAUUGUGAAUGUAGUGCUGGGAGAGCACCGGGGAGCUGGAGUUAAGAUUGGCACAAGGUGUAUAUGGGACGCUGAAGCUGAUAGUUAUGCCUAUGACAAUUUCUUAAAUGAAACAAUAUUCUGUGUUGCAACAGUCUAUGCUGUAUACUAUUACUAAAGAUACUAGAACAGGGUAACUUACUUAGAAUCAAGACUGUCAGCAAUGGAUCAUUCACGGGUAUGCAGUUGACUGAAAACAUACUGCAAGAUUGGGAGCAAAUGGAACAUAUUUCUGCACCUUAUUACAGCCGGUAGUCGUCGACAUUGAGGAGGAGGACCAGCCGAACGGGCUUCAAAAACUUUGAUCAAUGGGAGUCAACGCUGUGCGUAAUAAUACUGUACAACCUACUUGUAAUGCAGAUUGUAGAAUGUUGAAAUAUUAAAAUGUUACGUCAUUUUCCAUAAUAUGUUCUCGCCGCGUAUACGCAAUGGAUAUUCUACAUGUACUGACGCUCAUAUUGCACCGACUAAUUCCAUCCAGGACUAUAAUUUCGAUGACGAACGAAGGUCGAAGACUUAGGGUUUCGAGAUCAUAGUUGCUCUAUGAUCUCAGAUCGUCUAGAGAUGAAGGUAUUGAGAAUUUCCGUGAUUAAGGCGCGACGUAUACUCCUACGGGUGUUUUCAUCGGGUGUAAGAUAUCCGACGAUGGAAUUCAACGGAAUUUAAUCAGUUAGCGAGCGAUCCGCCAACGCAACGCAACGAAGUAUAAGCUGAGUGAGUUUGUAAUGUGUACCACUUGACUCUGGUCUUAUAAGGUGCGCCACAGAAAACUCCGGGAUCUACCCACUCGUCCUGUACGCUACACGCUAUGGCAAAUGGGAAUGAACAAACUGUUCUUCGCAACCGACGGCCUAAAAUCAACGAAUUAAACAAACUAUACCGUCGCAUAUUGCACGGAUGUGACCUUACAUCUACAGCUGAAUGCUAAUUAAAUAAUAUGCCCUCAUGUCAAUUCAAACAGCAUUUCGGAACACGACUGUAUGGAAACAUCUCGAUCAGUGAACCCCGAUUUUAAGAGAACGCGACUAGGGAGUUCUGCGUCAUACUUCUGGAUAGACUUGGAUCUUGGAUAUUGUGCAGGUCCCUUGAGAAUUUACUGGAUCGUCUACAUCGGCUUGAGAACGUUCGAUUAAACAAGCAAUUUAUUUUGCUAAAUGAAGCCGGAAAAAAGUUUUUAUAUAAUUCCUCAUAAUGUUAUAUGUUGACCCCAUUUGGUGAAGACCGAAAUAAAUAGUUUCUUGUAACUUCUCGCUAUUUGACUAUUCGAUCCACUGGUCCAGGUAGAAAGAAUGAAACGGGUAUUUUAAAAAUGAAUAAAAAAUGACGCGGAAAGGAAGGAGGUGCAGAAGAAGCCUCUAGACAAAGAGAUUUUCAUCUCGCAUCUCUUCUAUGGCGUCAUAAUUCAAGAUGAUAGAUCCAAGACGCUUAAAAGACUACUACUUAGUAUUCAAAUCGAGCAGUGGAUGGACGCCGGGUAAUCAUAAGGACGAAA
rnacentral:misc_RNA from 1 species